AUGGCAUCUCUGAAGAAACGCCAUGCCAACCUGACUGUGAGUGCGGGGGAUAUUGAGCAGCAGGUACGCGAGCGGUUCGACGGGAUGCGUCUGGCUUUAGAAAAGGAUGAGCAGGCAGUUCUGGCCAUGCUGGAACAAGACCACAGGGAGAACAGCAGUAAACUGACCCGGUUCCUGCAGGACUGGACUCAGCACCACAGACUGGUCCGUAAACACAUCGGCAGCAUCAGGAAGCUGCAGGAGAACAGCUCUGACAGCAACCAGCCGGUGAGGAUGAAUGAAAAGACUGUAUUUUAGUGCGUUUGCCAUUAUUAGUACUAUAUACUGAUAUACCAAAUGUCAUGGGACAGGAACUAGCAUAGUUUACCGUGACUUUUGCCAUAAUUGCUUAAAUUUGCAUGUGAUUUAUUGGAUUUCUGUCAGAGUUGCUAGUCUGUUCACACGUACAAUUCUAGCCAAUUCUAGAAAGCAUGAUGUCCAUCUAAAGCAUUGCCACUAUGAUAGGGAGAUCGCUGGUUU
rnacentral:lncRNA from 1 species